GGAAGUGUGGCCGAGUGGUUUAAGGCAGCAGUCUUGAAAACUGCCGAGCAUGCAAGUGUUCCGUGAGUUCGAAUCUCACCGCUUCCGCCA
rnacentral:tRNA from 1 species